rnacentral:rRNA from 1 species
AUGGCUGCUACCGAGGCUGAGGCUGAUGUAGAGGAGGGAGAAGAGCCGAAGAAGAAGGAAAGGAAAGCAGCCCGAGCUGCUUUCACGUGGAUUCAAGCAAACUUUGCGCAUUGCCCUGCGGAUGCCACUGAUGAUGUGAUACAGACACAUGCUCGUGUCUAUAUGGGGUACGUUGUCUCGAGGACUUUGUUUCCUGACUCCACGGGCAAGAACGCUCCAUGGAUGUGGCUGAAGGCGUUGACCGUCUUCGAUAGCAAAUGGAGUUGGGGUUCAGCGACUCUUGCGUACUUGAACCGACAGGUAGUUGGUUUGUUUUGUUAUCAACUCAUUUGUUCAUUACCAAUGCAACCUUGUUGUCAACUUAACAUUGUUUUUCUUUCAUAUGCAGCUGGACGAUGCGUGUUGCAGGAUCACAGAUAG